CAAGAAUGGCACAAGUACGCAGAAAACUAGCAUUUUGAGCUGUCCGACGAACGAAAAAAGCCUGGCAGACUGGUAAGAAGAAGAGGAAGAACGAAGCGAGUAAGAACUUUGACCCAACGGAACAUUUCCUCCGAUGCCCGGACCUGAUGGCAAUCGGUCAAUACAAGAGGAGAGAUUUCGUCAAACAAGUCUUUGCCUCUACACCAAAGUCGCACAGAAAGCAACGGUUAGAUUGCUUAAACACUUGCCCAUUGUCGCCGAUCGCGUUGAGAUCCGAGCCAAAGCUCAGGAAUGAUGAGUUUAGAAAGUACUUCAUAGCGUAAAAGCAUUUUGACAACAAAACAUCUACCCGGGACCAGAAUGAGCUUUAACAUUUGACAACAAAACAUCUACCCGGGACCAGAAUGAGCUUUAACAUUUGACAAAUUAUGCAAUUUAGAGUGCAAUGUGAUAUAUUGAUAAGUGUAUAAUAAAUAAUUUAAUGAACAAUUUAAA
rnacentral:lncRNA from 1 species